rnacentral:rRNA from 1 species
UACAGAGGGUGCGAGCGUUAAUCGGAAUUACUGGGCGUAAAGCGAGCGUAGUCGGUUAUUUAAGUCUGAUGUGAAAGCCCUGGGCUCAACCUGGGAAUUGCAUUGGAUACUGGCAGGCUAGAGUGCGGUAGAGGGUAGUGGAAUUCCCGGUGUAGCAGUGAAAUGCGUAGAGAUCGGGAGGAACACCAGUGGCGAAGGCGGCCCCCUGGUUGGAUACUGACGCUGAUACGCGAAAGCGUGGGGAGCAAACAGG